AAGUCGUAACAAGGUUUCCGUAGGUGAACCUGCGGAAGGAUCAUUAGUGAUUUAACCAAGUUGUUAGUGUAUGGUAUAUGUGUAUUGUUUUGGUACUUUUUGUAUCAUCAAAAUACACAUGUAUUUUACCGACCAACCAACCAUUUGUGAACAUGAAAAACCGAUAACAAGGAAAAAAAAGCAGUUCUUCUGUUUCUCUUUCUUUUGUUUUCAAAAAAAAAACAAAGAGUUUUAAUCUAUUCCAUAACACAUUGUCUAAGCUAUUUCAUAGACUUAUAAUCUAUUAAAACAACUAUUAACAAUGGAUCCCUUGGCUCUUA
rnacentral:misc_RNA from 1 species